CCUACGGGAGGCAGCAGUGGGGGAUAUUGCACAAUGGGGGGAACCCUGAUGCAGCGACGCCGCGUGGGUGAAGGAGUGCUUCGGCAUGUAAAGCCCUAUCUGCAGGGAAGAAGCAAGACGGUACCUGACUAAGAAGCCCCGGCUAACUACGGGCCAGCAGGCGCGGUAAUACGUAGGGGGCGAGCGUUAUCCGGAUUCACUGGGUGUAAAGGGAGCGUAGACGGCCAUGCAAGCAAGGGGGGAAAGCCCGGGGCCCAACCCCGGGACUGCCGUUGAAACUGCAUGGCUUGAGUGCGGGAGGGGCAGGCGGAAUGCGUGGUGUAGCGGUGAAAUGCGUAGAUAUCAGGAGGAACCCCGGCGGCGAAGGCGGCCUGCUGGACUGCGACUGACGUUGAGGCUCGAAAGCGUGGGGAGCGAACAGGAUUAGAUACCCGGGUAGUC
rnacentral:rRNA from 1 species